rnacentral:rRNA from 1 species
CAGCGCCACGAGUGGGAAUCACGAUUACUUGGCCUAAAGCGUUCGUAGCCGGAUUGGCAAAUCUUUAGUGAAAUCGUUGUGCUCAACACAACGGCGUGCAAGAGAGACUACCAAUCUUGGAAUUGGGAGGAGUCAGGAGUAUUUUGGGGGGAGCGGUAAAAUGCUAUAAUCCUCGAAGGACUAUCUGUGGCGAAGGCGCCUGACUAGAACAAAUUCGACGGUGAGGGACGAAAGCUAGGGGAGCAAACCGGAUUAGAUACCCGAGUAGUCC